rnacentral:rRNA from 1 species
AGAGUUUGAUCCUGGCUCAGAUUGAACGCUGGCGGCACGCUUAACACAUGCAAGUCGGACGAGUGAGUAGAUUUGGGAUUUAUUCCAGAUUUACAAGCUAGUGGCGGACGGGUGAGUAAUGCGUAGGAACCUGCCCUGAAGAGGGGGAUAACCCGGGGAAACUCGGGCUAAAACCGCAUAAUCUCUAAGGAGCAAAGCUGCCUUACCAACUUAAUAUAUUUGGUUAAGAUAUAUUAAGUGGUAAGGUGGUACUUUAGGAGGGGCCUACGUUGGAUUAGCUUGUUGGUAGGGUAAAGGCCUACCAAGGCGAUGAUCUAUAGCUGGUCUGAGAGGAUGAUCAGCCACACUGGGACUGAGACACGGCCCAGACUCCUACGGGAGGCAGCAGUGGGGAAUAUUGGACAAUGGGGGCAACCCUGAUCCAGCGAUGCCGCGUGUGUGAAGAAGGCCUGCGGGUUGUAAAGCACUUUUAAUGGUGAGGAAGAGGGCGCUAUAAAUAGUAGCGCCUAAUGACGUUAGCCAUAGAAUAAGCACCGGCAAACUCUGUGCCAGCAGCCGCGGUAAUACAGAGGGUGCGAGCGUUAAUCGGAAUGACUGGGCGUAAAGGGCACGUAGGCGGUUUAUCAAGUUAGAUGUGAAAUACCAGGGCUUAACCUUGGGGCUGCAUCUAAGACUGAUAAACUAGAGUUCACUAGAGGGGAGUGGAAUUUCCGGUGUAGCGGUGAAAUGCGUAGAUAUCGGAAGGAACACCAGUGGCGAAGGCGACUCUCUGGAGUUGAACUGACGCUGAGGAGCGAAAGCGUGGGGAGCGAACAGGAUUAGACACCCUGGUAGUCCACGCUGUAAACGAUGAGAACUAGCUGUUGGUACGCGACGACGUAUAAGUAGCGCAGUUAACGCGAUAAGUUCUCCGCCUGGGGAUUACGGCCGCAAGGCUAAAACUCAAAGGAAUUGACGGGGGCCCGCACAAGCGGUGGAGCAUGUGGUUUAAUUCGAUGCAACGCGAAGAACCUUACCUACUUUUGACAUCUAUGGGAUCCUGUAGAGAUAUUGGAGUGCCAGAAAUGGAGCCAUAAGACAGGUGCUGCAUGGCUGUCGUCAGCUCGUGUCGUGAGAUGUUGGGUUAAGUCCCGUAACGAGCGCAACCCCUAUCCUUAGUUGCCAGCGCGUAAUGGCGGGGACUCUAAGGAGACUGCUGGUGAUAAGCCGGAGGAAGGUGGGGACGACGUCAAGUCAUCAUGGCCUUUAUAAGUAGGGCUACACACGUGCUACAAUGGGCAGUACAGAGGGAGGCGAAGCCGUAAGGUGGAGCGGAACUCAGAAAGCUGUUCGUAGUCCGGAUUGGAGUCUGCAACUCGACUUCAUGAAGUUGGAAUCGCUAGUAAUCGCGAAUCAGAAUGUCGCGGUGAAUACGUUCCCGGGCCUUGUACACACCGCCCGUCACACCAUGGGAGUGGGUUGUACCAGAAGUGGUUAGUCUAACCUUCGGGAAGGCGAUCACCACGGUAUGAUUCAUGACUGGGGUGAAGUCGUAACAAGGUA